rnacentral:rRNA from 1 species
GACGAACGCUGGCGGCGUGCUUAACACAUGCAAGUCGAACGGAAAGGCCCUGCUUUUGUGGGGUGCUCGAGUGGCGAACGGGUGAGUAACACGUGAGUAACCUGCCCUUGACUUUGGGAUAACUUCAGGAAACUGGGGCUAAUACCGGAUAGGAGCUCCUGCUGCAUGGUGGGGGUUGGAAAGUUUCGGCGGUUGGGGAUGGACUCGCGGCUUAUCAGCUUGUUGGUGGGGUAGUGGCUUACCAAGGCUUUGACGGGUAGCCGGCCUGAGAGGGUGACCGGCCACAUUGGGACUGAGAUACGGCCCAGACUCCUACGGGAGGCAGCAGUGGGGAAUAUUGCACAAUGGGCGGAAGCCUGAUGCAGCAACGCCGCGUGCGGGAUGACGGCCUUCGGGUUGUAAACCGCUUUCGCCUGUGACGAAGCGUGAGUGACGGUAAUGGGUAAAGAAGCACCGGCUAACUACGUGCCAGCAGCCGCGGUGAUACGUAGGGUGCGAGCGUUGUCCGGAUUUAUUGGGCGUAAGGGCUCGUAGGUGGUUGAUCGCGUCGGAAGUGUAAUCUUGGGGCUUAACCCUGAGCGUGCUUUCGAUACGGGUUGACUUGAGGAAGGUAGGGGAGAAUGGAAUUCCUGGUGGAGCGGUGGAAUGCGCAGAUAUCAGGAGGAACACCAGUGGCGAAGGCGGUUCUCUGGGCCUUUCCUGACGCUGAGGAGCGAAAGCGUGGGGAGCGAACAGGCUUAGAUACCCUGGUAGUCCACGCUGUAAACGGUGGGUACUAGGUGUGGGGUCCAUUCCACGGGUUCCGUGCCGUAGCUAACGCUUUAAGUACCCCGCCUGGGGAGUACGGCCGCAAGGCUAAAACUCAAAGGAAUUGACGGGGCCCCGCACAAGCGGCGGAGCAUGCGGAUUAAUUCGAUGCAACGCGUAGAACCUUACCUGGGUUUGACAUGGAUCGGGAGUGCUCAGAGAUGGGUGUGCCUCUUUUGGGGUCGGUUCACAGGUGGUGCAUGGCUGUCGUCAGCUCGUGUCGUGAGAUGUUGGGUUAAGUCCCGCAACGAGCGCAACCCUUGUUCACUGUUGCCAGCACGUUAUGGUGGGGACUCAGUGGAGACCGCCGGGGUCAACUCGGAGGAAGGUGGGGAUGACGUCAAGUCAUCAUGCCCCUUAUGUCCAGGGCUUCACGCAUGCUACAAUGGCUGGUACAGAGAGUGGCGAGCCUGUGAGGGUGAGCGAAUCUCGGAAAGCCGGUCUCAGUUCGGAUUGGGGUCUGCAACUCGACCUCAUGAAGUCGGAGUCGCUAGUAAUCGCAGAUCAGCAACGCUGCGGUGAAUACGUUCCCGGG